UCAGAGGAGAACUGCCAGUGUACUGAUGGCUGUCUUUCUGCUGUGCGUGCAAUGUAUGCUGGAAUAUCUUUGGAGAACCCAGCUUUGUUUUCCUAUACUAGAGAGCCCAGCUCCUCAGACUACUGCAGGAUUUAAAGGUAAUUUUCCAGUUUACAGUAAUUUUCCAGUUUAUCUGUUCUCUCAAGAGAAAAAGGUAUUCUUCCUCCAAGGUAAGUAAAAAUACACAUUUGUCUUGCAUGGAACAUACUUGUGCAAAUAACUGGAUGGGGGGGGGGCAAUCUUUAUUUGCAGGAAAUGGUUUCACUUGAAAAAUGUAAAGCAAUUCAUGGUUUCCUACAAGCUUAAGAAAACAACAAACUUAUAACAAAAGUCUGGUGUGAAGUAAGGAACAUCAAAAUUGUUGCUUUGCUUCAGGACGUGUGCACACUAUUACCAGUGUGGAAAUAGACCCUUAAGAAGUAAGUCCUUUACUGCUAUUGAAAGUGGCUACCUGGCCUCUUUCAAUAAUUAAACCUGUCAUUGAAACACCUAUGAUGGUUAAACAUCUAUUUGAUCAUGUUGGUGUCUUUGGGGUGGUUUUUUCAGAUUAAAAGGGAAUUUUUUAAAGUUAAAAAAAGUUGUCCAUCCAUUCUAUAAAGAUAUUUUUGUAAUAAGUGGUUACUCUUACAUAAGUAGCUGACCGUAAAAUACUAUAUUUUAAAACAGUGUAUGAUCUAUAAAACCAGUCCAUGUUUCUUGCAACGACAAGUAGAGUUAUCAGGAAUACAAGCAGCACAGGACUUGCAUUGCUUUAUCUCACCCAGAAGAAACAGCACAAGGCGGGUGAGAAGUAAGUAAGUCCUGAGACUUAUGCAGUGGUAUUGUACGUAAUGAAUUGUUUUUGCCAUUCAUGAUAUUUGAACAAGACUAAGCUUUUCUCUAGUUUUUCUUUCAGAUGGAGUGAAACAAAAUGUGGAUUUGGACACAUCUGUAAAUCCAGAGCCAACUAGAUGAGCAGCUAAUAAAGAGGAAAUAUGUAGCAAGAGAAUGAAUGUGCAUUCAGAUAAUUAAUGCACAUCCCUGCUGUCUCUGCAUGGUGAUUUUCCAAGAAGUUCAGCAAUACAGUCUGCAGGACACCAGUCAGCCACUGAAGGGAGAAGGCGGAUGAGGGAGCACUUGCUUAUGGUCCUUGCUUACAUGCCCAGGAUAGUACUAUCAAUUUUGUGUUGGGAAGGAAUUUUUCUCCAGGGUAGAUUGGCCAAGGUCCUGGAGGUGUUUUGAGUUCUCUGGGGGUCAUUUGCUGGGGUCAUUUGAGAACAUAAGAACAGCCCUGCUGGAUCAGGCCCAAGGCCCAUCUAGUCCAGCAUCCUGUUUCACACAGUGGCCCACCAGAUGCCACUGGAAGCCUACAGGCAGGAGCUGAGGGCAUGCCCUCUCUCCUGUUGUUACUCCCCUGCAACUGAUAUUCAGAGGCAUCCUUCCUCUGAGGCUGGAGGUGGCCUAUAGCCCUCCGACUAGUAGCUGUGGAUAGACUUCUCCAUGAAGUUAUUCAAACCCCUCUUAAAGCCAUCCAGACUAGUAGCCAACACCACAUCUCGUGGCAGAGAAUUCCACAAUUUGAUUAUGUGUUGUGUGAAAAAGUACUUCUGUUUGUUGGACCUAAAUUUCUUGGCAAUCAAUUUCAUGGAAUGACCCCUGGUUCUAGUGUUGUGUGUGAGAGAGAAAUUCUCUCUAUCCACUUUCUCUACACCGGGGAUUCUCAACAUUGGGUCCCCAGAUGUUAUUGGACUUCAACUCCCAUAAUCCCCAACCAAAGGCCACUGGGGCUGGGGAUUAUGAGAGUUGAAGUCCAAUAACAUCUGGGGACCUAAUGUUGCGAAUCCCUGCUCUGCACCAUUCAUGAUUCUAUAGACCUCUAUCAUGUCUCCCCGCAGACGUCUUUUUUCUAAACUAAAUAGGCCCAGGUGUUUUAGCCUUGCCUCAUAAGAAAGGUGCUCUAGGCCCUUGAUCAUCUUGGUUGCCCUCUUCUGUACCUUUUCCAGUUCUACAAUGUCCUUUUUUAGAUGCGGUGACCAGAAUUGUACGCAGUACCCCAAGUGUGGCCGCACCAUAGUUUUGUAUAAGGGCAUUAUAAUAUUAGCAGUUUUAUUUUCAAUCCCCUUCCGAAUGAUCCCUAGCAUGGAAUUGGCCUUUUUCACAGCUGCCACACAUUGAUUCGACACUUUCAAUGAGCUGUCCAAGAUCCCUCUCCUGAUUAGUCACCAACAGCUCAGAUCCCAUCAGCAUAUCCUUGAACCUGGGGUUUUUCAUCCCAAUGUGCAUCACUUUAUAUUUGCCAAUACUGAACUGCAUUUGCCAUUUUGUUGCCCACUCACCCACUUUGGAGAGAUCCUUUUGGAGCUCCUCACAAUCUGUUUUGGAUUUCACGACCCUAAAUAGUUUGGUAUCAUCUGCAAAUCUGGCCACUUCACUGCUUACCCCAACUUCUAGAUCAUUUAUGAAUAAAUUAAAACAGCACCGGUCCCAGUAUAGAUCCCUGGGAGACCCCACUUCUUACUUCCCUCCAUUGUGAAAACUCUCCAUUUAUACCUACCCUCUGUUUCUUGUCCUUCAACCAGUUACCAGUCCACACAUGUACUUGUUCCCUUAUGACUGCUAGGUUUUCUCAAGAGUCUUUGAUGAGGAACUUUGUUGGAAGCUUUUUGGAAGUCCGGGAAUACUAUGUCAACUGGAUCACCUUGACACACACACUUGUUUACACUCUCAAAGAACUCCAAAAGGAAGAAAAGCAGAUGGAGAAACAAUCUGGAAGAAUCAGACAUCCAAGCUCUAAGAACCCCUGCUACAAUACAGUUUGAAGCUCUCCUCCCGUAGCCGUAUUUGGGGCUAUUGCUCAUAUGCACUCACCUCGUUUGCCCCUCACCUACAGCAGACUUGGGCUGAGAGUGUGACCCUUCUCCCCACUCCCCCCACCCCAUGACAGCAACAAAAUAUGCUCCAGCCACUUUUUGUUGAUUACAUCUCUCUCCAUUAACGAGAAAAGUCCUCACCUUAAAGGCUAAGUCUUUCCUAGGAUGACAGAUGCCUCACUGCUGACAGUUUUUACUGCAAGUAUCAGGAAAUAUAGAAAAUGGAGGAGGAAUUACAUAAUAUUUCAUCACCCAAUAUGAAAGAUGAAAGGAUUAACACUCUUCACCACAAUCUAGGUGUCAACCUACACAUACAACUUAAACACACCCCUACUUUCCUAAAAGAAUCCUCAGCUCCCCCACUUGAUUAGGCCAUACGCCUCAGCAAUCUCUCCUCAGUUCAGGGGCAUAACUAUAAUAGGGCAAGGGGAGACAGUUGCCUGGGGCCCACUGCCUUGGGGGGGCCCCCUCCAGAGGCAAGUCACAUGACUGACUCACCCAGCUGCGCACCCGCCCGGGCUUCCUUCAGUUGUAUUCAUCCUCCGAAAUUGAUGUGAGUGUUAAGACCUGGAGCUACCAGAACAGCAUGUCUUUCUCUAGUACCAUGAAAUGACUUGCAUCGUCCACGAUUUACAAAACCUUUUAAAAAAUAAUUUAGGAUGAUGUUCUAUUGUGGCACAAUAUAUAUAAAUAAAAUAUGUA